ensembl:lincRNA D6Ertd474e DNA segment, Chr 6, ERATO Doi 474, expressed
GAAGUAUAGAACGGCUUUUCUCAUAGGACAUGUUCUUAGGAAGGGCUCAGGAGAAGCAGGAAGCCACUGCAGGUGAAAUGGAACAGAUUCAGGAUGCUUCACCGUGUGCUCCAUAAGCUACUCAUCUGAUGUUUCAUAGGAAGCAGAAGAAAUUCCCAGCAAAGUGACCUGUGUUGCAAGACUCAAAAGAGGGAGAGAGGGAGUUGGCUCAGCUCGUGAAGAGCUUGAUGGACAUGAAGACCUGAGCUUGGAUCUCCCAACAUCUUUGUGAAAGGACGGGCACAGCCCCUGAAUCUCCAGAGCUGUGACGAUGGAAGCAAUGGAUCCUCAGAGCUUGCUGGCCAGCCAACCUGCUUGAGUUCAGCUCUAGAUUCUGUGUGACCCUGACUAAAAAACUAAGGCGUGGAGUGACUGAAGAAGAGAUCUGAUGUCAACCACUUGUUCUUAUUUACACACACACACACACACACACACACACACACACACACACACACACACACACUCUUAAAUAAAAAUUAAAUUAUUUGUUG